UGUGUACUCCCUCCAUUCCAAAAUGCUUGACUUCCAUUUGUCCAAAAAUGGAUGUACCUAUAUACUAAAACAUGUUUAGAUACAUCUAUAUUUUGACAAAUAGAAGGCAUGUAUUGUGGAACGGAGGGAGUAGAAU
rnacentral:pre_miRNA from 1 species